rnacentral:ncRNA from 1 species
CAAAAUCAGCGCGGAAAGAAGACCAUGUUGAGCUUGACUCUAGUCUGACUCUGUGAAGAGACAUUGAAGCUGUAGCACAGGUGGGAGGCCCGUGGCCGCUUGCGGUGCCGCGCCGACAGUCAAAUACCACUACUUCGAUCGUUUCGUUACUUAUUCGGUCAAGCGGAAGGAACGGUCGCUCGCGUGGCCGUCUCAUGGCCCGCGACGACUGCCACUUUUGGUGCAAAGCCGACGGGACGCGUGCCCCGCUGUCGGCGGCACAUCGAGCACCCGUAGCAACGCGAGGUGCCGUCCAGGGCGAUCCGCUCCGAAGACAGUGUCAGGCGGGGAGUUUGACUGGGGCGGUACAUCUGUUAAACGGUAACGCAGGUGUCCCAAGGUGAGCUCAGCGAGGACAGAAACCUCGCCUGGAGUAAACGGGCAAAAGCUCACUUGAUUUUGAUUUCCAGUACGAAUAGAGACCGCGAAAGCGUGGCCUAUCGAUCCUUUUGAUUUUGCGGAUUUCAUGUAAGAGGUGUCAGAAAAGUUACCACAGGGAUAAUUGGCUUCUGGCAGCCAAGCGCCCAUAGCGACGUUGCUUUUUGAUCCUUCGAUGUCGGCUCUUCCUAUGAUUGCGAAGCAGAAUUCGCCAAGCGUUGGAUUGUUCACCCACCAAUAGGGAACGUGAGCUGGGCUUAGACCGUCGUGAGACAGGUAAGUUUUGCCCUACUGAUCACUGAUCGUUGCUAUAGUAAUCCUGCUCAGUACGAGAGGAACCGCAGGAUCAGACAUUUGGUUCAUGCGCUUGGCUGAAAGGCCAGUGGCGCGAAGCUACCAUCUGAAAGAUAAUGACUGAACGCCUCUAAGUCAGAAUCUUGCCUAUCGACUGGCGACGAUACGUUGCGUCCGAGUUGUUGCAAGGUUGACGGUAGACCGGCGGUCGCCUUGCGCGGUCGACCGGUCUCCACUUGAAGCCGUGCUGCCACUUGUUGACGGCAGCGCCGUCGGCUAGCAUGAACGACAUGCUGCGAUGGCGGCGAAACCAGUAAUCACCCAACGGGUGAAACAGCAGUCGGACAGCAGAGUUCCCGUAGACGACGGACACACCUGUUGAGGUGUUGUGAUCACUAGAGCAGUCCCAACACUGCGCUUUGUAGAGACUUUGCCUUUCACUGGACUGCUCG